rnacentral:rRNA from 1 species
UACGGAGGGUGCAAACGUUGCUCGGAAUCAUUGGGCGUAAAGCGCACGUAGGCGGCCUGUUAAGUCGGGGGUGAAAGCCCUGGGCUCAACCCAGGAAGUGCACACGAAACUGGCAGGCUUGAAUAUGGAAGAGGAUCGCGGAAUUCCCGGUGUAGAGGUGAAAUUCGUAGAUAUUCGCAAGAACACCAGUGGCGAAGGCGGCUCACUGGCCCGGUACUGACGCUGAGGUGCGAAAGCGUGGGGAGCAAACAGG